rnacentral:rRNA from 1 species
AUUGAACGCUGGCGGCAGGCCUAACACAUGCAAGUCGAGCGAGCGGCGGACGGGUGAGUAAUGUAUGGGGACUGCCCGAUAGAGGGGGAUAACUACUGGAAACGGUGGCUAAUACCGCAUACUAUCGGAUAACCCAUAUGGGAUUAGCUAGUAGGUGGGGUAAAGGCUCACCUAGGCGACGAUCUCUAGCUGGUCUGAGAGGAUGAUCGGCCACACUGGGACGAAGACACGGCCCAGAUUCCUACGGAGGAAGCAGUGGGGAAUAGUGAAAAAGGGGCGAAAUCCGAAUGAAGCCAGGCCGCGGGUAUGAAGAAGGCCUUAGGGUUGUAAAGUACUUUCAGCGGGGAGGCGUUACCCGCAGAAGAAGCACCGGCUAACUACGUGCCAGCAGCCGCGGUAAUAC